GAUUUUAGUGCUUGCACUAAAUGAAACUAUUUAAAGCGAGCGGCGGACGGGUGAGUAACACGUGGGUAACCUGCCCAAGAGACUGGGAUAACACCUGGAAACAGAUGCUAAUACCGGAUAACAACACUAGACGCAUGUCUAGAGUUUGAAAGAUGGUUCUGCUAUCACUCUUGGAUGGACCUGCGGUGCAUUAGCUAGUUGGUAAGGUAACGGCUUACCAAGGCAAUGAUGCAUAGCCGAGUUGAGAGACUGAUCGGCCACAUUGGGACUGAGACACGGCCCAAACUCCUACGGGAGGCAGCAGUAGGGAAUCUUCCACAAUGGACGAAAGUCUGAUGGAGCAACGCCGCGUGAGUGAAGAAGGGUUUCGGCUCGUAAAGCUCUGUUGGUAGUGAAGAAAGAUAGAGGUAGUAACUGGCCUUUAUUUGACGGUAAUUACUUAGAAAGUCACGGCUAACUACGUGCCAGCAGCCGCGGUAAUACGUAGGUGGCAAGCGUUGUCCGGAUUUAUUGGGCGUAAAGCGAGUGCAGGCGGUUCAAUAAGUCUGAUGUGAAAGCCUUCGGCUCAACCGGAGAAUUGCAUCAGAAACUGUUGAACUUGAGUGCAGAAGAGGAGAGUGGAACUCCAUGUGUAGCGGUGGAAUGCGUAG
rnacentral:rRNA from 1 species